GUGCUUGUUUCAGUAGCACCUGUACUAAAAUUGUAAUGAUACAGAGAAUAGCAUGGCCUCUGCACAAGGAUGACAAGGAUGAUUUGAAUGGGAGGAAAUCUUC
rnacentral:snRNA from 1 species